rnacentral:rRNA from 1 species
UGAACGCUGGCGGCGUGCCUAAUACAUGCAAGUCGAGCGAACAGACGAGGAGCUUGCUCCUUUGACGUUAGCGGCGGACGGGUGAGUAACACGUGGGUAACCUACCUAUAAGACUGGGAUAACUUCGGGAAACCGGAGCUAAUACCGGAUAAUAUUUCGAACCGCAUGGUUCGAUAGUGAAAGAUGGCUCUGCUAUCACUUAUAGAUGGACCUGCGCCGUAUUAGCUAGUUGGUAAGGUAACGGCUUACCAAGGCAACGAUACGUAGCCGACCUGAGAGGGUGAUCGGCCACACUGGAACUGAGACACGGUCCAGACUCCUACGGGAGGCAGCAGUAGGGAAUCUUCCGCAAUGGGCGAAAGCCUGACGGAGCAACGCCGCGUGAGUGAUGAAGGUCUUCGGAUCGUAAAACUCUGUUAUUAGGGAAGAACAAACGUGUAAGUAACUGUGCACGUCUUGACGGUACCUAAUCAGAAAGUCACGGCUAACUACGUG